ensembl:lncRNA
AGCGAGUGGUGGGGGUUUGGUGACCUGGGAUGGAGUCAUAGCUGAUGGGCUAACCCCCUGCUUAGGCCAGAGAGCCAGGCUGGGAGGAGGUGAACUAGAAGGCGGCCACGGCCAGGUCGGGAGGCUGUACAGUAAAUGUUGGCCGGGACCCCAUCCAAAGCCCCAGCUCAGCCAAAGUAGCUACCCAAAGAAAAGCUGGCAUCCUCCAGGUCAAUAUUGAGUAGGGCCCUGAGGAUUGAGGUCCCAGAGGCGGAGUCCAGCCAGGGGCUGGUGGGGACAGCCUGGCUUGUCCUCCAAAAAGUCUUCCUGGCUUCCCCCCGGCCCCCUCAAACCUGCCAACGGGCCUUCUGGAGCCCCCAUUUGCCAUGGUGGCAGAGUGCUGAAUGAUUACUUAGGUGACGAGCAAACACUUGCUAAAUGGGAUUCUCGGCUCUCUGGUAACGAACAGCCCCAGCAGGAGAGAAAAAAGAUGUAGUCUGGGGGAGUCCCAGGGAUCCCUGAAGGUCUGCCAGAGUGGGCACAUGUGGUGGCGCCCGAGGGCGUGUCCGGGCAGCCCCUUGGAAGCAAGGAGAGGGAUCAAUGGUUGAGCCCUUCACGAAUGAGAAAAGCCCGAGUGCGGGAGACAAAACGGCUACGGGAUGUGUUCUGAGCUUGGAAGCAGCAGGUGUCUGGGAACGGGACUCUGGCCCAGGCAGAUUUCCAGGGAGCGCUCCAGCUUGCUGGCCAGGCACCAGGGAAGGAUCUGGCUGAGCAGAACAGGCAAGUUUCAGUGAUGAAAUCCACUGUUGAGGAACAGGGGCGAGCACGCCAUGAAGGGGUGGGGGUGCGGGGGCGGGGGAGACCACGUGCUUGGAGACGGGCUGGGGGAUUGGGGGGGCGCUCACACCUCCACUUCUAGAGUCCAAGUUCCUGAGUGGGAUCCCUGCGCCUGCCCGUAGCCAGGCUCGCCUCCUGCUCCUCCGCAAACAGCAUGCCCCAUCCCCAGCGCACAGUUGUUUGCAGAGACCCCAAGCGUGGUGAUAUUGCAGGUCUCCAGCCCCCUGCCUGGAAUACUUCCCACACUCUUCUCUGGCUGCCUCUGAGACCCAUCCAGAGUGUCACCUUCUCCUGGAAGCCCUCCCCGACUGCCCCGCUCACCCCAGCAGUUUCUCAUUGGAUGGGGGCGCCGUGUGCCAACAGGGACACCAAUCCCACCCUGGUUUUUACCAAUCCCAUACUUGUUGCCACAUCUAGGCUCUGAGUUCCUUUUGGGAGAACCACCUCUUCUCACUUUUAGGUCCCCAGAGCCUGGGGCAAUGGCUGGCACAUGUACACCCUUGCUCAGCCCUUGUAAAGUGAAGGGUGGGGAGCCAGCCAAGCUCUAGGAUCUGGGGAGGAACUUGAGGAGAGAGAUUCUGAGACCACUUGUGGCCACCCAGCCCCUCCCAAAGGCCCCCAAAGUGGAGGGCCGUGUGGCUGGAGGUGAGAGAGGAAGAUGGGGAGACGGUUCCCCCUCACCCCUACCCCCAGCCCUGGGGCCUAGAGAAAGUGCGGAAAGAGAUGGCCGAGGGGCCGGCCCCAGGCAGGGAUGGCCUCAGCCUCUGGGAGGAGACAAGGGCUCCUCAAGCGGGAACCCACGCCUCCCUGCCCUGAACCAUCUGGGACGGACACUGGGUCUGGUGAAUCGAGAGGCCGUGGCUUAGCCCCUGACCAGUCAACUUGCUCUGAUGUUUCCGACAAGGGUGUCAUCUCGCCUGCGUGGCAUGUGCGCUGCUGAGUGACCAGUGAUGUCACCCACAAUAGAGCUGCUUUUAUUCCCUCUGCCUCUUAGAGGAGCAAGCUGCUAAAAAUACACCUGACGUCCUGGGCCCCUCUGCCUUGCCUCCAAUAACAGUCGGCAACCAGAGACUGUGCUGCGCUUGACAGAAGUGGAUCAUUUAUAAAACAUUAGCAUUUCUUGUACUGACAUUUCACUUCCAUAUUAUAGGACUUACUAAGUCUUUUUAAAAAAAAAUUUAAUAAAGCGCUUGGACUCUUGAUUUUCCCAUGGAGGGCUGUGCUGUCUAAAGUUGGAAAUGAAAUCAACAACAUAACAACAUCCUCGGGUCUAAGGGACAGCUAGGCCUUGGCACGGGCCUGGGUAAGAGCAGGCAGACCAGCGGGGAGCCAACACAGGCCAAAGGCGAUUUGUUCUGCUUUCACCAGACUCCCUUUAGUGCACAUCUCCAGGCUCGCACGGAAGUGGAUUUGUCCAGGCCUGAAAACGCAGCCUCCUUUCUAUCUGGAGAGCUCGCGCCUUUCUCUGAAGCCACGGGGCAGGUGCAGCCUCCAGACCGCAUCCACGUCCACGGUUGCAUGGGUCAGUCCCUGGCUUCCUGGAAUCCCCUCUGGGCCCCUAGGAACUGGCAGUUCCCUUCCAGCUUCCCCC